CGGGAGGCAGCAGUAGGGAAUCUUCCACAAUGGACGCAAGUCUGAUGGAGCAACGCCGCGUGAGUGAAGAAGGGUUUCGGCUCGUAAAGCUCUGUUGUUAAAGAAGAACGUGG
rnacentral:rRNA from 1 species